rnacentral:rRNA from 1 species
CAGCCGUAAACUAUGCUCGCUAGGUGUCAGGCAUGGCGCGACCGUGUCUGGUGCCGCAGGGAAGCCGUGAAGCGAGCCACCUGGGAAGUACGGCCGCAAGGCUGAAACUUAAAGGAAUUGGCGGGGGAGCACAACAACGGGUGGAGCCUGCGGUUUAAUUGGACUCAACGCCGGACAACUCACCGGGGACGACAGCAAUAUGUAGGCCAGGCUGGAGACCUUGCCUGAAUCGCUGAGAGGAGGUGCAUGGCGUAGACGUCU